CUGAGAGGACAAUUGUCGCCUCCUCCGGGACAUGUGCGCUCCGGGGGAAAGCGCCGGUAACAUGACGUACAGACACACACAUGUAGUGCCGGUAUCUGUGCACAUACGUGUUACAUCACAUAAGUAUCUAUAAGCGAUCAGUAUAUGAAGCGUCCAUAUGAGAACUGGACGUACAGUUUACCUGACACACGGCGCCAAAUUCAUCACCGGAUUUUUUGUCACAGCCAAUUUUCAUUUUUUAUUUUGUUUUCCUUUUUGAUUUUUCACAUUCUAGUCUUCCAAGCAUCAUAACUUUUUUUAUUUUUCCACUGACAUUUUACUAUGUCCAAUGGUUUUCCCUUUACAUUCGUACCUGGCAUCACCAACCUGUCAAAAAGAUUUCUGGCAAGUGGAGACUCUUUCCAGUCACUCCAUUACCAGUACAGAAUGGGAACGUCCACCAUAUGUGUCGUAGUUGGGGAAACCUGUGAUGCCAUAUGGAAGAAAUUGCAGCCUCUGCACCUUCCACAGCCAACUGAAAAUAUUUGGCUUUCCGCAGCUGAGGGUUUUAGGGUUAAUGCCAACUUCCCUAAUUGUGUUGGUGCCCUGGAUGGGAAGCAUGUUCGCAUCAGAAAACCUUCUGGUAGUGGGUCUAUGUACUAUAAUUAUAAAAAAUUAUUUUCUAUUAUAUUAAUGGCUAUAUGUGACUCAUCCUAUACAUUUUUGGCUGUGGAUAUCGGAGCCUAUGGACAUAACAACGACUCUAGAGUCUUUAACCCCUUAAGGACCAAGGACGUACCGGUACGUCCUUGGUCCUGCUCUUCUGAUAUAACGCGGGGUUACACAGUAACCCCGCGUCAUAUCAUGGCGGGCCCGGCGUCAUAGUGAAGCCGUGACCCGCCUCUAAUAGCGCGCAGCGCCGAUCGCGGCGCCGCGCGCUAUUAACCCUUUAGCCGCGCGCUCAGAGCUGAGCCACGCGGCUAAAAGUGAAAGUGAAAGUUCCCGACUAGCUCAGUCGGGCUGUUCGGGAUAGCAGCGGCUAAUCGCGGCAUCCCGAACAGCUGACAGGACAGCGGGAGGGCCCCUUCCUGCCUCCUCGCUGUCCGAUCGCCGAAUGACUGCUCAGUGCCUGAGAUCCAGGCAUGAGCAGUCAUGCGGCAGAAUCGUUGAUCACUGGUUUCUUAUGAGAAACCAGUGAUCAAUGAUGGAGAUCAGUGUGUGCAGUGUUAUAGGUCCCUAUGGGGGCUAUAACACUGCAAAAAAAAAGUGAAAAAAAAAAGUGAAUAAAUAUCAUUUAACUCCUCCCCUAUGAAAAGUUUGAAUCACCCCCCUUUUCCAAUAAAAAAAAAAAACACAGUGUAAAUAAAAAUAAAAAUAAACAUAUGUGGUAUCACCGCGUGCGGAAAUGUCCGAAUUAUAAAAAUAUAUCAUUAAUUAAACCGCUCGGUCAAUGGCGUGCGCGCAAAAAAAUUCCAAAGUCCAAAAUAGUGCAUUUUUGGUCACUUUUUCUAUCAUUUAAAAAUGAAUAAAAAGUGAUCAAUAAGUCCUAUCAAUGCAAAAAUGGUACCGGUAAAAACUUCAGAUCACGGCGCAAAAAAUGAGCCCUCAUACCGCCCCAUACACGGAAAAAUAAAAAAGUUAUAGGGGUCAGAAGAUGACAAUUUUAAACGUAUUAAUUUUCCUGCAUGUAGUUAUGAUUUUUUCCAGAAGUCCGACAAAAUCAAACCUAUAUAAGUAGGGUAUCAUUUUAAUCGUAUGGACCUACAGAAUACAUAUCAGGUGUAAUUUUUACUGAAAAAUUUACUACGUAGAAACGGAAGCCCCCAAAAGUUACAAAACAGCGUUUUUUUUUCAAUUUUGUCGCACAAUGAUUUUUUUUCCCGCUUCACCAUAGAUUUUUGGGCAAAAUGACUGACGUCAUUACAAAGUAGAAUUGGUGGCGCAAAAAAUAAGCCAUCAUAUGGAUUUUUAGGUGUAAAUUUGAAAGAGUUGUGAUUUUUUAAAGGCAAGGAGCAAAAAACGAAAAUGCAAAAACGGAAAAACCUCCGGUCCUUAAGGGGUUAAGGAGUCUAAUUUUGGAAAAGCCAUAUACAGUGGAGCAUUUGGAAUACCUGAGGCCAAACCACUGCCCGGUACCGAUGGACCUGCUAUACCACAUGUUAUAGUCGCAGAUGAGGCUUUCCAGAUGUGCAAAAAUCUUUUAAAGCCAUAUUCUGGAAGAAGGUUAACACCUCAACGCCGGAUCUUUAACUAUCGCCUCACACGUGCCCGUAGAUAUAUAGAGUGCACAUUUGGAAUUUUAACAAACAAGUGGAGGGUUCUGACCACAUGGAUACAACUAAAGCCUGAGAAAGGGGACUGUGUAAUUCUUGCAUGUGUAGUACUACACAAUUUCAUUCUCAACACUGAGGCCGGAGCUGUUCCAAAUAUUGAAGAAGUAGAAGAGUCCCCAUUGGUUGGCCUGGAUUAUAACCCUCUUCGGUCAUCAGUGUCAGUGAUGCAAAUAAGCGACCAAUUUUCUACCUCCUUCAAGUCUCCACUUAGUGCUGUCCCAUGGCAAGAUGCUGUAUAGAUGAAUUCUACAUCACUAGACAUCUAUCAACAUUUUUUUUUUACCUUUGAAAAAGAAUACGAUGACAGUUUUGUGCUUGAGUAAACAAAUUUACUACAAAAGUAAAACUUUUAUAAAACAACAACUCGUGUGUUUUU